UACGUAGGGUGCAAGCGUUGUCCGGAAUUAUUGGGCGUAAAGAGCUCGUAGGCGGUUUGUCGCGUCUGCUGUGAAAACUCGGGGCUUAACUCCGGGCCUGCAGUGGGUACGGGCAGACUAGAGUGCGGUAGGGGAGACUGGAAUUCCUGGUGUAGCGGUGAAAUGCGCAGGAUAUCGGGAGGAACACCGGUGGCGAAGGCGGGUUCUCUGGGCCGUUACCUGGACGCUGAGGAGCGAAA
rnacentral:rRNA from 1 species